GAUGAACGCUGGCGGCGUGCCUAAUACAUGCAAGUCGAGCGAACAGACGAGGAGCUUGCUCCUCUGACGUUAGCGGCGGACGGGUGAGUAACACGUGGAUAACCUACCUAUAAUACUGGGAUAACUUCGGGAAACCGGAGCUAAUACCGGAUAAUAUAUUGAACCGCAUGGUUCAAUAGUGAAAGACGGUUUUGCUGUCACUUAUAGAUGGAUCCGCGCUGCAUUAGCUAGUUGGUAAGGUAACGGCUUACCAAGGCAACGAUGCGUAGCCGACCUGAGAGGGUGAUCGGCCACACUGGAACUGAGACACGGUCCAGACUCCUACGGGAGGCAGCAGUAGGGAAUCUUCCGCAAUGGGCGAAAGCCUGACGGAGCAACGCCGCGUGAGUGAUGAAGGUCUUCGGAUCGUAAAACUCUGUUAUUAGGGAAGAACAAAUGUGUAAGUAACUAUGCACGUCUUGACGGUACCUAAUCAGAAAGCCACGGCUAACUACGUG
rnacentral:rRNA from 1 species